rnacentral:tRNA from 1 species
GGUUUCUUAACUAUUACAUAAGUAUAUAUUUUGAAAAUAUAAAAAAGAGAUUUCUCUAUGAACCU